rnacentral:rRNA from 1 species
GAUGAACGCUAGCGGCAGGCCUAAUACAUGCAAGUCGAACGGUGUCUUCGGACAUAGUGGCGCACGGGUGCGUAACACGUAUGCAACCUACCUUACAUUGGGGGAUAGCCUUUCGAAAGGGAGAUUAAUACCGCAUAAGACAGUAGCUGGGCAUCCAGCAGCUGUUAAAGAUUUAUCGAUGUAAGCUGGGCAUGCGUCCAAUUAGCUAGUUGGUGAGGUAACGGCUCACCAAGGCAAUGAUUGGUAGGGGAACUGAGAGGUCAAUCCCCCACACUGGGACUGAGACACGGGCCAGCAUCCUGCGGGAGGCAGCAGGAGGGAAUAUUGGGCAAUGGCCGCAAGUCUGACCCAGCCAUGCCGCGUGCAGGAUGAAGGCGUUAUGCGUUGUAAACUGCUUUUAUACAGGAAGAAACGACUCUUGCGAGAGGCAUUGACGGUACUGUAUGAAUAAGCACCGGCUAACUCCGUGCCAGCAGCCGCCGUAACAC